rnacentral:rRNA from 1 species
GACGAACGCUGGCGGCGUGCUUAACACAUGCAAGUCGAACGGUGAACCAGGGCUUGCCCUGGGGAUCAGUGGCGAACGGGUGAGUAACACGUGACCAACCUGCCCUUGGCUCUGGGAUAACCCCGGGAAACCGGAGCUCAUACCGGAUACGAGUUCGUGCGGCAUCACACGAACUGGAAAGUUUUUCGGCCAAGGAUGGGGUCGCGGCCUAUCAGCUAGUCGGUGGGGUAACGGCCCACAAAGGCGACGACGGGUAGCCGGCCUGAGAGGGCGACCGGCCACACUGGGACUGAGACACGGCCCAGACUCCUACGGGAGGCAGCAGUGGGGAAUAUUGCGCAAUGGGCGAAAGCCUGACGCAGCGACGCCGCGUGAGGGACGACGGCCUUCGGGUUGUAAACCUCUUUCAGCAGGGAAGAAGCGAAAGUGACGGUACCUGCAGAAGAAGCACCGGCUAACUACGUGCCAGCCGCCGCUGUAACAC